UUUCACGAUGUUGGCCAGGCUGAUCUCAAACUCCUGACCUUAGUUGAUCCACCUUCCUCAGCCUCCAAAAGUGCUGGGAUUACAGGCGUGAGCCACCAUAUUUGGCUUAGGUUUAUUCUUGAAUAGGCAAUACAUUAUUCAGAAUUUGAAAGGAACAAGUGGAAUGCAGUGGAAAUUCUCCCUCCCAUGCUUGUCUUUCCCAGUCAUUUAGGCACUCAGUUUCUUUCCCCAUAGGCAACCAGUGUUAUCAGUUUCUUACAAUUCCUGUAAUAGGUGUUUUGAGUAUAUGAGAUUUAUUUAUAUUGCGUAGCGUGGUGGCUGGUACCACUAAUCUCAGCCACUCUGGAGGCUAAGGCGGUAGGAUCACUUCAGCCCAGGAGUCUGAGGCUGCAGUGAGCCAUAAUCGCACCACUGCACUGCAGCCUGGGUGACUAAGCGAGACCAUGUGUCUUCAAAAAAAAAAAAAAUUAUUUAUAUUAAUUUGCUAUAUUGUUGGAAUAAUUGAAACAUGUUGGUCCACUGUGGACUCUCCACAUUUAUGUCUGUUCAUUCUGUGAGUCUUAGAGCAAUGGGUUGUCUCAGGUACAGAAACUCUUAGCCAAGAAUUCUCAAUCUGAAUGCAGUUGUUACCUAGCUUUUUCUAUGAUUUCUUGUGAUAACUCCUGAUCUUCCAACUAUCUUUCUAUCUUAAUUUUCUCCUAUAUAGUUAAUGUUUUGUUCCUGGCUCGCCAUAUGAUUGGCUCUUUUUUUACGUUCUCAUUUUUGCCGGAAUGAUAAACUUGAAUUAGUACAUCUGUGAAGAGCUGUUUGUGUCCUGUCUACUCUCUGGUUAUUGCUCCUCUGCCCAGCUCUAGCCCUGGCCCCACUGUGAGGCACGACUUUCAUAUCUCAUGGCUCUUAGCUGGGCAUCUGGCCAGGCCAUCGUGGUUUACGAUCCAUUGGUAUAAAGUAAAAAUUUCUUCUUUACUUUAAAAAAUAAUUUCCUCAUAAUAAGCACUUGAUUGUGCUUAUGUCUGAAAUUAGUAUUUUAAUACUAACCUGUAAAAAUUUUCUGUGACUCCUUUGAAAUAAUAAACCAUAGGAUGGAGUUAGGAACCCAUUAUAACAGUAACAAAAAAGAAUAAGCUUAAGACAUGAAUAAGGUCCAUGCAGAUAAAACUUUUUAAAUGUUAUUGAAAAAACUUGAAAAGGUACCAUGCUCUUAAGUAGGAAGGUUCAACAUCAUGUUAAUUCUUGUAAAUUAAUCUAUAAAUUCAACUUGAUUCUUACAGAAAUUAUGAGGGGGGUGUGUGUGUGUGUUUGUGUGUGUGUGUGUGUGUGUGUGUGUGUGUGUGUGUGUGUGUAAACCACUCAUGCAGUUUCUGAGUUCAGUUGGAUAAUAAACCUUGUAGGAAAAGCCAGUAAAACUCUGAAAAAAGAAGAUUGAAGGGCAGGUAUGAUGAUGUUAGUUCCAUGAAACCAUAUUGCAGACUGUGGUACUUAAAAUAGAAUGCUACUAAGUUGGAUCAUGAACUGGCAAAUGAAUCAAUAGAACCGAAUAGAUAGUCCAGAAAUAGACUUUAAUGUGUAUAGGAACAACUGGCAGAUACCUGAAAAAAAGUAUAGUUGGAUUCUUUCCUCAUAUUUAUAAUCAGAAUAAUUUUCACAUAGAUGGGAAGUACAGACAUUAAAAACUGCAACCAUAAAUUACUAGAAGAAAACCUGGGAUAAUUUCAUUAUAAUCUUGGACGGGCCAGGACCUUCUAAUUAUGCUAGUUCAAGUUAGAAAAGACUUGAAGGACCUAUAUAAGUGAAAAGCUAUGCCAAUGGAUUAGAAGACAUACAGUUUUUCCCAAAUAUAUUUUGUUUUGCAAUACCAAUCAAAAUCUCAGCAUGUUUCUUUUUUU